rnacentral:rRNA from 1 species
UACAGAGGUCUCAAGCGUUGUUCGGAUUCAUUGGGCGUAAAGGGUGCGUAGGUGGCGCCAUAAGUCAGGUGUGAAAUCUCGGGGCUCAACCCCGAAACUGCACUUGAUACUGUGGUGCUUGAGUACUGGAGAGGAGAUUGGAAUUUACGGUGUAGCAGUGAAAUGCGCAGAUAUCAGGAGGAACACCAAUGGCGAAGGCAGCUCGCUGGGACGGUACUGACGCUGAGACGCGAAAGCGUGGGGAGCAAACAGG